rnacentral:rRNA from 1 species
GCAGCGAUGCCGCGUGAGUGAAGAAGGCCUUUGGGUUGUAAAGCUCUUUCGUCGGGGAAGAAAAUGACUGUACCCGAAUAAGAAGGUCCGGCUAACUUCGUGCCAGCAGCCGCGGUAAUACGAAGGGACCUAGCGUAGUUCGGAAUUACUGGGCUUAAAGAGUUCGUAGGUGGUUAAAAAAGUUGGUGGUGAAAUCCCAGAGCUUAACUCUGGAACUGCCAUCAAAACUUUUUAGCUAGAGUAUGAUAGAGGAAAGCGGAAUUUCUAGUGUAGAGGUGAAAUUCGUAGAUAUUAGAAAGAAUACCAAUUGCGAAGGCAGCUUUCUGGAUCAUUACUGACACUGAGGAACGAAAGCAUGGGUAGCGAAGAGGAUUAGAUACCCUCGUAGUCCAUGCCGUAAACGAUGUGUGUUAGACGUUGGAAAUUUAUUU